CCAGACUCCUACGGGAGGCAGCAGUGGGGAAUAUUGCACAAUGGGGGAAACCCUGAUGCAGCGACGCCGCGUGGGUGAAGAAGCGCCUCGGCGCGUAAAGCCCUGUCAGCAGGGAAGAAAAUGACAGUACCUGACUAAGAAGCCCCGGCUGACUACGUGCCAGCAGCCGCGGUAAUACGUAGGGGGCAAGCGUUAUCCGGAUUUACUGGGUGUAAAGGGAGCGUAGACGGCUGCGCAAGUCAGAAGUGAAAGCCCGGGGCCCAACCCCGGGACUGCUCUGGAAACUGCGGCGCUGGAGUACGGGAGGGGCAGGCGGAAUUCCUAGUGUAGCGGUGAAAUGCGUAGAUAUUAGGAGGAACACCAGUGGCGAAGGCGGCCUGCUGGACGAUGACUGACGUUGAGGCUCGAAAGCGUGGGGAGCAAACAGGAUUAGAUACCCUUGUAC
rnacentral:rRNA from 1 species